rnacentral:piRNA from 1 species
UACUAAGUUCUGCACUUAAUUUGAGUGGC